rnacentral:rRNA from 1 species
AGUGAACGCUGGCGGUAGGCCUAACACAUGCAAGUCGAACGGCAGCACAGUAAGAGCUUGCUCUUACGGGUGGCGAGUGGCGGACGGGUGAGGAAUACAUCGGAAUCUACUUUUUCGUGGGGGUUAACGUAGGGAAACUUACGCUAAUACCGCAUACGACCUACGGUUGAAAGCAGGGGAUCUUCGGACCCUGCGCGAUUGAAUGAGCCGAUGUCGGAUUAGCUAGUUGGCGGGGUAAAGGCCCACCAAGGCGACGAUCCGUAGCUGGUCUGAGAGGAUGAUCAGCCACACUGGAACUGAGACACGGUCCAGACUCCUACGGGAGGCAGCAGUGGGGAAUAUUGGACAAUGGGCGCAAGCCUGAUCCAGCCAUACCGCGUGGGUGAAGAAGGCCUUCGGGUUGUAAAGCCCUUUUGUUGGGAAAGAAAAGCAGCAGGUUAAUACCCCGCUGUUCUGACGGUACCCAAAGAAUAAGCACCGGCUAACUUCGUG